rnacentral:tRNA from 1 species
GGGCCUGUAGUACUAAUGGCAGAACACGUCCCUCGCACGGACGAAGUCCGGGUUCAAUUCCCGGCAGGUCCA